ACCAGUAUCUCCUUACUAUCACUGAUAGUUUCACUGGGGGCCUGAAGAAGUAACUCUGCCUGACACAGGACACAGUAUGAAAGAUACUUCACGUAGACAUACUGGAAGAUGCUGGAGGAAGCCUAAGCCCAGAGAUUGAUUUAGGUCAAGUAGAAGGAGCCUUUGUGAUGGGUCUUGGCUAUUGGUUAAAGGAAUUCAUGGUUUAUGAUAAUGAUACUGGAAAGGCAUUGACAAACAGAACCUGGAACUACAAACCUCCUGGAGCCAAAGAUAUCCCUAUUGACUUCAGAAUACAACUGAGGAAAAAUGCUCCUAAUCCCGUUGGCGUUCUUUGUUCAAAAGCAACUGGUAAACCACCCUUGUGCAUGAGUAUUUGUGCUUUAUUUGCAAUACAGGAAGCGGUACUGGCAUCUAGACAAGCUUCAGCACACUC